AUCAGCCGCCGUCCCCGUGUGAUGACAGAUUAAUACACACCUGGCCUGACCCUAAGCUCGCUGGCUGCCCUGUUGAAUGUCAGGGGAGGGAGUCGCCAUGGAAACAGAUGGACAGCCUCGUCAGCUGUUCAUUAUAUGGGGGGAGAAGACCAAAUACUUGGUGUAGUGACUGUCUGAGAAUAAAGCAGGUAUUUUUCAUCAGGACAGUCCUUCCACUCUGCUGUGAUUGUGUCACCUUGACACCGUUCCUAUACAAUGGCCUCAUAGACAGCGGACAGUGGGCCAGAGGGACAGGUCUCCACACUGAGCCUCACCGCUUAGCUGCACUGCCAGGAAGAGUGCGCCACCUACAGGUGCUGACAGGGAGUGAGACGCUGGAGGUCAAGACAAGUUGUAUGAAACCAGUCUGUAUGAGCAGAUGGAGGUUGAUUCAAUGAUUUCAUACCUCACUACUAAUACUUGUAUCGUGAAUCAAUGGAUUGCUCUUCAAAUGGAUGAUGAAAGGAAGAAGGAAGAAAAUCACUAGAUGUUAUUACAAGUGAUCCCGCAAAGACAUGACUUUGUUUUAAAAGAACAGGCUGCUAUGUUUUCUACUUUUCUACUUAUCUCAAAAUAAACUUCCAAGCUCUGUGUAAAGACCA